AAUGUUCACGUAAAAUUUGCAUCACUAAUCAGGAUUAAGCAAAAAUUAGUUAAUUCCAUGGAGAAAUUAGAAGCUAAUUCCGACCAAAAUCAUAUUGAAGAAGACCCUAAUUUCAAGUUUUGGCCAUGUGAAGAUACAGUUUUCAAAUGUGAAAUUGCAAAAGCUGAGAAGAUUAUUAGAGAUAUGGAUCGAAAACAAGCUGAGCUCCUCAAAGCCAUGGAAAAAUUAAAGAUUGAAGAUAUAGGCAGUGUAUAUCCAAGGUUGAAUUCCGCAAUGUGGGAGGAUUGGUGCGCAAAGAAAUCUAUGGAUAGGGAACAGAAGUGUGGAGUGGAACCUCUAAAACAAGCUUUAGACAAGAUAUGUUUCAGAAACAAGGCAUACCAAACAAAAUAUACUAAAUCAUGCUUUUCUGAUGAUGAAGAAGGAGUUCAUUUUAGGAACUUAAAAUUCAAGAUACGGCAUGGAAACAAGAGUAUGGCUGCAGAGAAACGACUUCUGAAGAAGGGCAACAAACUUGGAAGCCAAGAAAGAGAAGCUUGUAAUAAUAUAUUUACAGACCUAAUUAUUAAUAAGCAGAUAUUUUCUUUGGAUAGUUACAGUUAUGCUGAUGAAGAUACAAUUAUGCAAAUCCGUGAAAAAUUCAAACAGCUGGAAUUGAAAAGGGAAAAAGCAUUAACAAAUGCUAUUGUAGAGGGAAAAAAUUGGAGGAAAAUUUUAGGAUCAAAACAAGAAAUACAAGAGAAGAUCAAUCCUAUUGCAACUCACACGCGGCCAAAGUCAGUCCCUCCACCGCCGUCGAAAAAGAAAACUAAGCUCUGGGCUGAACCUAUGCUCUGUAUCUUGUUGGAAUGUUAUCGAGCUCCACACAAAAUGUCUAUGGCUGUCUCGCGCAGAAGUCAUUGAAAGGCCAUUGAAGCCGGCGCUUUUGGAUUUGCAUAAACUUUUCGUUACUGAUGCUGAAUCAAAAGUGGAGAAAUUGAAGACUAAGAAGGUUUUUAUACAUCAUGUUGAGAAAAUUAGAAACUCAGAUGCCGUUAUUGAUGUGUUGCAGUCAUUUGUUGUGGUAACUUAAAUUAAUUGCAAGCUUCAUCUUUUCAUUGUUGCAUAUUGGUAAUUUUUAAUUGCUUUCACUUUACUUUCGAUUAUGGGAAUCAUAAUAUCUGGAAAAUUGAGAUCAUAUAUAUGUGUUUUCCAUUUACAUAAGCAUGUAGAACCUGACUACUAGCAUUAACCCGAAGCUUUGUAUUCAAAAUUGGAUCAUCUUUCGUAAGCUACACGAUGGUCAUGUAAUAAAGAUAGUCACUGGCAUUAUUAGCAUCAGCUUUUUGAUCGAUGGGUUGACGAGCAUGAACACAACCCUUUCCUAAGAGAGAAGUUCUAUGGGUGUCUGAAAUUAUGUAAGAGACCGAUGGUUUAUUUUGGAUGGCUUGGUUCGUUUUUUUUUUCAAGCAAUGUGGUUUGAGUUUUCACUUUGGCACUGUUAUAUCUAACAUUCUUGCAGCCAGGAAGAAUGCAGACAGACCAAGCAGGAAUUGCAUAUUUGAUUCCUUGGAAUUCAAUGGUUGCAUCUGAUGAUUAAUUUACAUUGCCAAAAAUGCAGUCUUACCCUUGAUAGUUUGCAUAAAUAGUUGUUUGACCAAAAAUUACCAUUUAGUAAUUUUAGUAAUUAUUUGGUAUAUAGUUAACUAACUCUUAGUAACUAUUUGGUUUACAUGUUGAGAUAAACUCUUAGUAAGUAUUUGGUAUACAGUUAGCUAAUUCUUUUUGUUAAUUCAUUUUAAAUAUAUAUUUACUUGUUCUUUUUUCUUAAUAUAUUUGGUAUCCAGUUAGUAGUGAAUCCAAUGCCUAACCAUAACAAUUGGGAUAUACCUGCCGAAAUUGAGAGAAUUGAAGUUUUUCCACUAAUAGCAAAGAUACCACCAGGGAGACCAAGAAAAAGAAGAAUAAAUACAUCAUGGAAGACACAAAGUACAAAUAAGUGUGGAAGAUGUGGGCAAAGAGGACAUAACAGGAAGACGUGUCGAAUAAAAUCAAAAUAAAUAUAAAUAAAAUGUUAUUUUUUAUGAACAAUUUAAAAAAUUCAUUUCCUUUAGAUUUGUAACAAAUUUCAUUGACAUAUUAUUCAAAAACAAGGAUAGAAAUAUUUCUUUGUUUCA